rnacentral:rRNA from 1 species
AUUGAACGCUGGCGGCAGGCCUAACACAUGCAAGUCGAGCGGAUGAAGGGAGCUUGCUCCUGGAUUCAGCGGCGGACGGGUGAGUAAUGCCUAGGAAUCUGCCUGGUAGUGGGGGAUAACGCCCGGAAACGGGCGCUAAUACCGCAUACGUCCUGAGGGAGAAAGUGGGGGAUCUUCGGACCUCACGCUAUCAGAUGAGCCUAGGUCGGAUUAGCUAGUUGGUGGGGUAAAGGCCUACCAAGGCGACGAUCCGUAACUGGUAUGAGAGGAUGAUCAGUCACACUGGAACUGAGACACGGUCCAGACUCCUACGGGAGGCAGCAGUGGGGAAUAUUGGACAAUGGGCGAAAGCCUGAUCCAGCCAUGCCGCGUGUGUGAAGAAGGUCUUCGGAUUGUAAAGCACUUUAAGUUGGGAGGAAGGGCAGUAAGUUAAUACCUUGCUGUUUUGACGUUACCAACAGAAUAAGCACCGGCUAACUUCGUG